GACGAACGCUGGCGGCGUGCUUAACACAUGCAAGUCGAACGGAAAGGCCCUGCUUGCAGGGUACUCGAGUGGCGAACGGGUGAGUAACACGUGGGUGAUCUGCCCUGCACUUCGGGAUAAGCUUGGGAAACUGGGUCUAAUACCGGAUAGGACCGCACUUUAGUGUGUGUGGUGGAAAGUUUUUUCGGUGUAGGAUGAGCUCGCGGCCUAUCAGCUUGUUGGUGGGGUAAUGGCCUACCAAGGCGGCGACGGGUAGCCGGCCUGAGAGGGUGUACGGCCACAUUGGGACUGAGAUACGGCCCAGACUCCUACGGGAGGCAGCAGUGGGGAAUAUUGCACAAGGGGCGCAAGCCGGAUGCAGCGACGCCGCGUGGGGGAGGAAGGCCUUCGGGUUGUAAACUCCUUUCGCUAGGGACGAAGCUUUUUGUGACGGUACCUAGAGAAGAAGCACCGGCUAACUACGUG
rnacentral:rRNA from 1 species